UACGAGGGGUCCUAGCGUUGUUCGGAAUCAUUGGGCGUAAAGCGCACGUAGGCGGCUCCAAAAGUCGGAUGUGAAAUCCCUGGGCUCAACCGAGGAAGUGCAUCCGAAACUGCGGAGCUUGAGUAUGGAAGAGGGUCGCGGAAUUCCCGGUGUAGAGGUGAAAUUCGUAGAUAUCGGGAGGAACACCAGUGGCGAAGGCGGCGACCUGGGCCAAUACUGACGCUGAGGUGCGAAAGCGUGGGGAGCAAACAGG
rnacentral:rRNA from 1 species